CGCCGGGAACCGCGCGGCGGCAGUCUGUCGAACCCCGUCAGGACCGAGAGGUAGCAGCGGUAAGGUAGUUCUCCGGGCGAUGCGGACCUCCCGGCGCUU
rnacentral:SRP_RNA from 1 species